rnacentral:rRNA from 1 species
AACGAACGCUGGCGGCAGGCUUAACACAUGCAAGUCGAGCGCCCCGCAAGGGGAGCGGCAGACGGGUGAGUAACACGUGGGAACAUACCCUUUACUACGGAACAACUCCGGGAAACUGGAGCUAAUACCGUAUGUGCCCUUUGGGGGAAAGAUUUAUCGGUAAAGGAUUGGCCCGCGUUGGAUUAGCUAGUUGGUGGGGUAAAGGCCUACCAAGGCGACGAUCCAUAGCUGGUCUGAGAGGAUGAUCAGCCACAUUGGGACUGAGACACGGCCCAAACUCCUACGGGAGGCAGCAGUGGGGAAUAUUGGACAAUGGGCGCAAGCCUGAUCCAGCCAUGCCGCGUGAGUGAUGAAGGCCUUAGGGUUGUAAAGCUCUUUCACCGAUGAAGAUAAUGACGGUAGUCGGAGAAGAAGCCCCGGCUAACUUCGUGCCAGCCGCCGCCGUAA